AACGAACGCUGGCGGCAGGCCUAACACAUGCAAGUCGAACGCCCUAGCAAUAGGGAGUGGCAGACGGGUGAGUAACACGUGGGAACCUUCCCUAUAGUACGGAAUAGCUCAGGGAAACUUGAAGUAAUACCGUAUACGCCCGAGAGGGGAAAGAUUUAUCGCUAUAGGAUGGGCCCGCGUCGGAUUAGCUAGUUGGUGAGGUAAUGGCCCACCAAGGCGACGAUCCGUAGCUGGUUUGAGAGAACGACCAGCCACACUGGGACUGAGACACGGCCCAGACUCCUACGGGAGGCAGCAGUGGGGAAUAUUGGACAAUGGGCGCAAGCCUGAUCCAGCCAUGCCGCGUGAGUGAUGAAGGCCUUAGGGUUGUAAAGCUCUUUAGCAGGGAAGAUAAUGACUGUACCUGCAGAAUAAGCUCCGGCUAACUUCGUGCCAGCAGCCGCGGUAAAU
rnacentral:rRNA from 1 species